GGAUGAACGCUAGCGGCAGGCCUAACACAUGCAAGUCGAGGGGCAUCGCGGUGCAGCAAUGCACUGGCGGCGACCGGCGUACGGGUGCGUAACGCGUAUGCAACCUGCCCCGCACCGGGGGAUAGCCCGCCGAAAGGCGGAUUAAUACCCCAUGGUCCCGGGGGCCCGCAUGGGCAUCCGGGUAAAGCCUUGGCGGUGCGGGAUGGGCAUGCGUGCCAUUAGCUGGCUGGUGGGGUAACGGCCCACCAGGGCAACGAUGGCUAGGGGGUCUGAGAGGAUGGUCCCCCACACUGGUACUGAGACACGGACCAGACUCCUACGGGAGGCAGCAGUGAGGAAUAUUGGUCAAUGGGCGGAAGCCUGAACCAGCCAUGCCGCGUGCGGGAUGAAGGCCCUACGGGUUGUAAACCGCUUUUCCCCGGGAAGAAUAAGCCCCCCGCGGGGGGUGAUGCCGGUACCGGGGGAAUAAGGAUCGGCUAACUCCGUG
rnacentral:rRNA from 1 species